rnacentral:rRNA from 1 species
CGCUGGCGGCGUGCUUAACACAUGCAAGUCGAACGGAAAGGCCCUGCUUUUGUGGGGUGCUCGAGUGGCGAACGGGUGAGUAACACGUGAGUAACCUGCCCUUGACUUUGGGAUAACUUCAGGAAACUGGGGCUAAUACCGGAUAGGAGCUCCUGCUGCAUGGUGGGGGUUGGAAAGUUUCGGCGGUUGGGGAUGGACUCGCGGCUUAUCAGCUUGUUGGUGGGGUAGUGGCUUACCAAGGCUUUGACGGGUAGCCGGCCUGAGAGGGUGACCGGCCACAUUGGGACUGAGAUACGGCCCAGACUCCUACGGGAGGCAGCAGUGGGGAAUAUUGCACAAUGGGCGGAAGCCUGAUGCAGCAACGCCGCGUGCGGGAUGACGGCCUUCGGGUUGUAAACCGCUUUCGCCUGUGACGAAGCGUGAGUGACGGUAAUGGGUAAAGAAGCACCGGCUAACUACGUGCCAGCAGCCGCGGUGAUACGUAGGGUGCGAGCGUUGUCCGGAUUUAUUGGGCGUAAAGGGCUCGUAGGUGGUUGAUCGCGUCGGAAGUGUAAUCUUGGGGCUUAACCCUGAGCGUGCUUUCGAUACGGGUUGACUUGAGGAAGGUAGGGGAGAAUGGAAUUCCUGGUGGAGCGGUGGAAUGCGCAGAUAUCAGGAGGAACACCAGUGGCGAAGGCGGUUCUCUGGGCCUUUCCUGACGCUGAGGAGCGAAAGCGUGGGGAGCGAACAGGCUUAGAUACCCUGGUAGUCCACGCUGUAAACGGUGGGUACUAGGCGUGGGGUCCAUUCCACGGGUUCCGUGCCGUAGCUAACGCUUUAAGUACCCCGCCUGGGGAGUACGGCCGCAAGGCUAAAACUCAAAGGAAUUGACGGGGCCCCGCACAAGCGGCGGAGCAUGCGGAUUAAUUCGAUGCAACGCGUAGAACCUUACCUGGGUUUGACAUGGAUCGGGAGUGCUCAGAGAUGGGUGUGCCUCUUUUGGGGUCGGUUCACAGGUGGUGCAUGGCUGUCGUCAGCUCGUGUCGUGAGAUGUUGGGUUAAGUCCCGCAACGAGCGCAACCCUUGUUCACUGUUGCCAGCACGUUAUGGUGGGGACUCAGUGGAGACCGCCGGGGUCAACUCGGAGGAAGGUGGGGAUGACGUCAAGUCAUCAUGCCCCUUAUGUCCAGGGCUUCACGCAUGCUACAAUGGCUGGUACAGAGAGUGGCGAGCCUGUGAGGGUGAGCGAAUCUCGGAAAGCCGGUCUCAGUUCGGAUUGGGGUCUGCAACUCGACCUCAUGAAGUCGGAGUCGCUAGUAAUCGCAGAUCAGCAACGCUGCGGUGAAUACGUUCCCGGGGCUUGUACACACCGCCCGUCAAGUCAUGAAAGUUGGUAACACCCGAAGCCGGUGGCCUAACCGUUGUGGGGGAGCCGUCGAAGGUGGGACUGGUGAUUAGGA